UGCUAUAGAUCAAAAGAUGACUUUGACAAAUUCCCAGCCCUGACGUCUGUGAACCAGAAUCUUCUCCUUCUGAGAUCCGAGUUCUGAGCCAGCAACAGAACCAAACGGGAUCCCUCCCCGCCCCUGUAAUCAUUCCCACAUUUCCUCCUCUUCUCCUGCCUCAUUGGUGGAAUGCACUCUCUCCUCAGACCAACAUAACCAGACGACACCAUGAUGGAGGGUUGAACCAGAGGACGCGCAGCUUCCAGGGAGGAUGGAAAGAGCCUCCUCCAGCUGAUCCCAGAGACACCACGAGGAGUCCGGCUGAUGAAGACCAUCAUGGAGCGCCAGAACCGGUCCUGACGGUCCAGCAGCUGCAGAUCAAGACGCCUUCACGGCCAGCGUGAACGGGGGGGUUGCUUCCCUGUUAUCCGAGCCGUGGUAACCAAGGCAAUUAUGGGAUUGCAUAUGUGCUGCGUUUGUCUGCGCAUGUGCCGGCGCAGGCACAGGCCGGGGUUUGAGAGCCGAGGCUGUCGCAGCUGCGCCCGCAGACAGAGAGGCUGCGCGCCGCGGAUGCGCGCAUCUCCCGGACUGACCCUACACGCGCAGUAAACACGGCCGGGGGAGGGGGGCUGCCCCCGUCCCGGAAAAAUAAUAAAAUAAAUUAACAUUUGAUUCCGUUUUCUGCUGACACAUUCAGGGGGAGGUCGCCCCAAACGCUCCGCGUUAUUAGCGUUAAACGAGCUAGCUAAAUAGACCACCAAAUAUAAGCUAGCUCUCUUAAAAAAAACCCGCGUGACAUUCUGAAAAUGAGGCUAACGAGGAAUUAAACCCGCACGUCAAUUAACGCUUCCGCCGAGCUGUUCGCCAAAAUAAAUAAAUAAAAUAAAAUAAA